AACGAACGCUGGCGGCAUGCCUAACACAUGCAAGUCGAACGAGACCUUCGGGUCUAGUGGCGCACGGGUGCGUAACGCGUGGGAACCUGCCUUUAGGUUCGGAAUAACUCAGAGAAAUUUGAGCUAAUACCGGAUAAUGUCUUCGGACCAAAGAUUUAUCGCCUUUAGAUGGGCCCGCGUAAGAUUAGCUAGUUGGUGGGGUAAAGGCCUACCAAGGCGACGAUCUUUAGCUGGUCUGAGAGGAUGAUCAGCCACACUGGGACUGAGACACGGCCCAGACUCCUACGGGAGGCAGCAGUGGGAAUAUGGACAAUGGGCGAAAGCCUGAUCCAGCAAUGCCGCGUGAGUGAUGAAGGCCUUAGGGUU
rnacentral:rRNA from 1 species